GCAUAUCAAUAAGCGGAGGAAAAGAAACCAACCGGGAUUGCCUUAGUAACGGCGAGUGAAGCGGCAAAAGCUCAAAUUUGAAAUCUGGCGUCUUCGACGUCCGAGUUGUAAUUUGAAGAAGGCGACUUUGUAGCUGGUCCUUGUCUAUGUUCCUUGGAACAGGACGUCAUAGAGGGUGAGAAUCCCGUGUGGCGAGGAUCCCAGUUAUUUGUAAAGUGCUUUCGACGAGUCGAGUUGUUUGGGAAUGCAGCUCUAAGUGGGUGGUAAAUUCCAUCUAAAGCUAAAUAUUGGCGAGAGACCGACAGCGAACAAGUACAGUGAUGGAAAGAUGAAAAGAACUUUGAAAAGAGAGUGAAAAAGUACGUGAAAUUGUUGAAAGGGAAGGGCAUUUGAUCAGACAUGGCGUUUGCUUCGGCUUUCGCUGGGCCAGCAUCAGUUUUAGCGGUUGGAUAAAUCCUCGGGAAUGUGGCUCUGCUUCGGUAGAGUGUUAUAGCCCGUGGGAAUACAGCCAGCUGGGACUGAGGAUUGCGACUUUUGUCAAGGAUGCUGGCGUAAUGGUUAAAUGCCGCCCGUCUUGAAACACGGACC
rnacentral:rRNA from 1 species